rnacentral:rRNA from 1 species
UUGGAGGGCAAGUCUGGUGCCAGCAGCCGCGGUAAUUCCAGCUCCAAUAGCGUAUAUUAAAGUUGUUGCAGUUAAAAAGCUUGUAGUUGAAUUUCGGGAUCAAUAUUUCGGUCAUGCCGUUGGUAUGCACUGUUAUCAUUGAUUUCUCUACCUUCUAAAGAACCGUAAUGCCAUUAAUUUGGUGUA